GUUGUUGAAAUAGGUGGAAUAUUAAUGGGAAGAUCAGCCCCAUCCAAGGCUAUAAGAUUCUUCUCAGCCAUUAAUCUCACAUUUCUACGAGCUCUUCUCCUAACAAUAAGACUCUCUAGACGCUGGUUUCUUUCAAGCUCUGAAGUCCCCAAAUCCAUGAGAUUCUUUUGAUCAUCCUCUGUCCAUUUGAUUGCAGAUUUACUCUCAUCCUCUUUACCUCCCUGUACUUCUCCUUCCUCUUCCUCAUUGUCAUUAUCAUCGUCACCAUCAUCUUCUUCUUCUGGCUGGUUUUCAAUAUCCUCCUCUGACUCAAUGCUGCUCUCCUUACUCUUAUUAGAGCACUCUGAACCAGCAUCAGAUCCAUCAUGAGACAUACGAACAGGCUGUGGAGUUUCCUCAUCUAAAAGUGGGUGGAGCUCAUCCAGCAUCGGAAUAAUAUCAGCCAUUGAAGCAUCAGGAGAGGAACUCUCAGCCCCAUCAGACCCAGAAUCAGAAGCCUCUUCAUCCUCUUCUCCCUCCUUUUCCUCCUCAUCAUCAUCAUUUAACCGUUUCCAAGAUGAAAGCUUAGAACCCAAAUGAUGGCCCUUUUCAUCUUCAAUAAACUCUCCAGGGGAUUUAUCUUCUUCCACUCGAAGACUUUCAUCUUCCACAUUUUGAAUCAGAGAAUAAUGAUUCUCAACAGCCUCCCCAUUAGUCAAGCUCUCUCUAAUCCCUUGUUUCUCCUCGUAAAUUUCCCCGUUCUUCUCAUAUUCCAAAUCAUCAAAUUCUCUCUGCACUUCUCCAAUCACUUUUUUCUUAAAUUUAAUAUCCUGAGAACUCUCAUCAAUCAGUGGCACAUAAUCAUCUAAACCAACAUCUCCCUCAAUCUUACUGACCCUAUUCUUCUCCCAAUUCUCUUCUCGAAUGGCUUCCUUUUCUGUAUCCUUUCUCUUCCCCUCAAAAUUCUCUAUAAAAAAGCUCCCAUCUUUCUCAACAACAACAGUGGCAUCCCCUAGAACCCCUGCUUUCAAAGAAGAAAUCUCAUGGGAAACUUCUUCUUCUUUCUCUUUUUCAAUUUCAGGGAUAUUUGGUUCCCCAAAACUCAAUAGGGUACCAAGCAAAACAGCAGUACAAACCAAAACAGGGGAUGCAGAGACUAAAAGGGAAAACAAAAAGGGAAAUGAUCUGUACAGGUAUAUCAAGAAACACACCAACCCCACAAGAAAUGGAUGUUUACAAACUGAUUUAUAAGAUGUCCUAAUUGAAACGAUAAAAAAUCUCCUGAUUUGAACUCUAAUUCUCAUUACAUCAAGACCCAUUCUCUUUCUUUCUAUUUCUCUGUUUCCAAUCCCAAUCUCAAAUUUCCAAUCAAAGGAAAUACAGAAAAUCGGUUGAUGAUUAUAUUCAAUACCAGAUUGAAACAGAGAUCAAAGUGUUAAAAAGAGAAGGAAAUGGAAUCCUUUCCUUUGCUUUUCUCCCUCUUUUCUGUUCCUUGCUAUCUUUCUUUAGCUAACUUCUCAUUUUCAAAGAUUUUUUUUUCUUUGGCUUAGCAUCAGCAACAACUAUGCAUAUUACCUGGCUUUCUUUCUCAGUAUUUUUUUUUUUUGGCAUUCA
rnacentral:misc_RNA from 1 species